CCAGUGAAUUGUAAUACGACUCACUAUAGGGCGAAUUGGGCCCGACGUCGCAUGCUCCCGGCCGCCAUGGCGGCCGCGGGAAUUCGAUUGGAUUAGGCAUGCAAGUCGAACGAGAACGCAACUUCGGUUGUAAGUAAAGUGGCGAAAGGGUGAGCAACGCAUGAUCAACCUACCCCCAAGACGGGGAUAACGGUCCGAAAGGGCCGCUAAUACCCGAUAUGGCGGGAGUUCCUCCUGGAGCAUCUGUUAAAGGUGGGGACCUUCGGGCCUUCCACUUGGUGAGGGGAUCAUGUCCUAUUAGCUUGUUGGUGAGGUAACGGCUCACCAAGGCAACGAUGGGUAGCCGGCCUGAGAGGGUGGUCGGCCACACUGGGACUGAGACACUGCCCAGACUCCUACGGGAGGCUGCAGUCGAGAAUCAUUCUCAAUGGACGCAAGUCUGAAGAUGCGACGCCGCGUGGGGGAAGAAGGCCCUUGAGUUGUAAACCCUAGUCUCGGGUGAAGAAUUGCGUACGCGAUAACAUCAAGUACGUUUGACGUUAACUCGAAAGAAGCACCGGCUAACUACGUGCCAGCAGCCGCGGUAAUACGUAGGGUGCGAGCGUUGUUCGGAAUCACUGGGCAUAAAGCGCAUGUAGGCGGUCCGGCCAGUCAGGUGUGAAAGCCCAUGGCUCAACCAUGGAAUAGCACUUGAUACUUCCGGACUCGAGGGCGUCAGAGGAGAGUGGAACUCGUAGUGGAGCGGUGAAAUGCGUAGAUAUUACGAGGAACACCGGCGGCGAAAGCGACUCUCUGGGGCGUUCCAGACGCUGAGAUGCGAAAGCCAGGGUAGCGAACGGGAUUAGAUACCCCGGUAGUCCUGGCCCUAAACGAUGGGCACUAAGUAGAGGGGUUUUAAUCACUAGUGAAUUCGCGGCCGCCUGCAGGUCAACCAUAUGGGAGAGCUCCCAACGCGUUGGAUGCAUAGCUUGAGUAUUC
rnacentral:rRNA from 1 species